ensembl:snoRNA small nucleolar RNA, C/D box 114-4
UGGACCAGCGAUGACGGCUGGGGGCAUAAGAGUCAUGCACAAUGACUGCUAUGUGUCUGGAACUCUGAGUCCAA